rnacentral:rRNA from 1 species
GACGAACGCUGGCGGCGUGGAUUAGGCAUGCAAGUCGAACGGUAUCAUCCUUUCGGGGGUGAGAGAGUGGCGAACUGGUGAGUAACACGUAGGUUAUCUACCCUCAAGACGGGGACAACCCAGGGAAACUUGGGCUAAUACCGGAUGUGAGCAACUUUUAGUUGUUUGAAAGGUGGCGUAAGCUGUCGCUUGGGGAUGAGCCUGCGUCCUAUUAGUUAGUUGGUGAGGUAACGGCUCACCUAGGCAAUGAUAGGUAGGCGGCCUUAACGGGUGGUCGCCCACACUGGGAUUGAGAUACGGCCCAGACUCCUACGGGAGGCAGCAGUCGAGAAUAGUCUACAAUGGUCGGAAGACUGAUAGUGCGACGCCGCGUGAACGAUGAAUCCCUUCGGGUGUAAAGUUCUUUUAUAUGUGAGCAGUGCUUCUUAUAUUAACAGUAUGGGGAGAGAGAUAUUAGCAUAUGAAUAAGCAACGGCUAACUCCGUGCCAGCAGCCGCGGUAAUCACG